GCCCGGGAGUCCCCUGGCCAGCGGCCGGCUGCUGGGGCCGAGUAUUGUCUUAAACGCCGAAAAAAGAAGAAAGGCGGGAGGGUGGGGAACUGCCAAGUGACCGGGAGAGGAUUUAUAACAUGUUCUUUCACCAUCGACAGUAUUGCGCAAUGUAUGAAAGAGACGGUAUCGCCUGGACAGGAGCGUGAGGGCGCGGGCAAGAGUGUAUUCCGUGGAAGCUAAUUCCAGGGACUGAACUUUUCAAAUCACUGCUUCAACAGCUUUUAAAAAUCUGGACCUAGUUAUGCCUGUCAUCCAUGUGUAAAGAUUUAGAAAAAAAAUUCCAAACCCGAGGGUGGACACUUGCUGGAGACCUGAGCGUUUCCCCCCUACCGGAAAUCUGAUGGGCUUAUGACAUCAUGGCUGGCUGCUGAGCGAUGAAGUGGAUGCCACAAAGAAAUCCGACAUAUCAGAUGGAUUCUGUAAUCAGUUUCCCUCCGGCUGUAGUAACAGGCGCGAAGUCAGGAGGAUCUGAGCUUUGUUUAAAAAACAAAAAAUAGAACUAAGACUUAACCUGUAUUCAAUACAUUUUUUUUUUUCAAAAGCGAACAGACCUUUUGGACAUCAUCCUAUUUGAAUAGAAAUGCUGGUUUUUAUGAAAUGAAAGUGGCUAAUAAACCAGACCUGAAACU